UAGUUCGAGAAAUACACCACUAACGGCCCUCGAAUCAUGGAUAAAUCAUAUUAGAGAGUAGAAUCAAGGGAGGAACAGAUUUGUACUCAUAAUCUUGAUGAAUAAAAUCACGUUUCUUCAUAAAAAAAAAAAAAAACCAUUUAUGCUAUCCGACCAAAGCCCAUUUUCAGGAAAAUAUCCAGCAAUGUGCUCCAGCCAAGAGCCUCGACCCUACCAAUUUAUCUUCUUUUAGCGAAAACCCAGAGCUUUGCUGAAGGAUUUCAGCGCGUACAGUCAAUUUGAUCCCAUAUUUCUUCAUCGUCUGGAGCAUCGAAGCUCAGAAACGUCGAGUGCGUGGAUGGCAACGGAGAGUACAAAGAUAAAACUCUAAGGAUCAUACUGUUUUGUCUUAUUCCUCAACGUUCAUCCCUGUUCGUACGAUGGCAGACAUGCGUUUUCAUCCUUUGAGACUCGACAUUCAGCCACGUUGCUUGCUAGUACAAUGGAUCGAUCUUGUCCCUCCACCUCCCUUGAAAUCUGUUCAAAAUCAUUUGGAAUGGGAAGAUUAUUGGUUUUCGGAUAAGAUUUUGGAUUUUUAAUCUGAAAUGGGUCUGGAUUAAUUUCGGAGUUUUAUCCAUUUUUUCCAAAUCGAAGCACUAACCCAUCGUUAUAUAAGAUCUACUCGUCGAGAAAAACAGAGAGUGUACUUUGUGUUGUAAAGAACAGUGGAAGUAAGAUAAAACACUUGUUCAGUUUCAAGUUUUAGGGGUGUGGUUUGGGAAUCGAUUCAAACACUUCAAGUCCUCUGCUGCGCCUGAGUCCGAAAGAUUUCACAAAGCUCUCCUUUUAGUGUGAAGUCGUCUCCUUUGCUCGUGUGUUCUCGGUCGCUGCCCUUGAGAAGGUGCAGGCACAGGUGGUCGAUAGAGUUGCAGGAUCUUCAUAGCAUCUAUACGGAUGUCAACAUUCAUUCGGAGUUUGUUAGGUCCUCAUACUUUCGAGGAUGCUACUGUUUUAUAUUCUAGCAUAAUUUUAGAGUUGAGCUAGCGGAGCAUGUUCCACUAGCAUUUCUUUCCUCUUUUGAUUCAGACUUUGUAUUGGGACAUUUAGGCAAUUAUACAAUUAAGACUUAAUGAA